rnacentral:rRNA from 1 species
AUUGAACGCUGGCGGCAGGCCUAACACAUGCAAGUCGAGCGAGCGGCGGACGGGUGAGUAAUGUAUGGGGACUGCCCGAUAGAGGGGGAGAAAUACUGGAAACGGUAGCUAAUACCGCAUACUAUCGGCUAAACCCUAUGGGAUUAGCUAGUAGGUGAGGUAUUGGCGCACAUAGGGGACGAUCCCUAGCUGGUCUGAGAGGAUGAUCAGCCACACUGUGACUGAGACACGGCCCAGACGCCUACGGAUGCAGCAGUGGGGAAUAUUGCACAAUGGGCGCAAGCCUGAUGCAGCCAUGCCGCGUGUAUGAAGAAGGCCCUAGGGUUGUAAAGUACUUUCAGUCGGGAGGCGUUACCGACAGAAGAAGCACCGGCUAACUCCGUGCCAGCAGCCGCGGUAAUUC